UACUCCUACGGGAGGCAGAGUGGGGAAUCUUGGACAAUGGGGGCAACCCUGAUCCAGCAAUGCCGCGUGGGUGAAGAAGGCCUUCGGGUUGUAAAGCCCUUUCGGCGGGGAAGAAAUCGGCCGGGCGUAAUAGUCCGGUCGGAUG
rnacentral:rRNA from 1 species